UGAGGAAUAUUGGUCAAUGGACGAGAGUCUGAACCAGCCAAGUAGCGUGCAGGAAGACGGCCCUAUGGGUUGUAAACUGCUUUUAUAAGGGAAUAAAGUGAGUCUCGUGAGACUUUUUGCAUGUACCUUAUGAAUAAGCCCCGGCUAACUACGUGCC
rnacentral:rRNA from 1 species